rnacentral:rRNA from 1 species
UACGGAGGAGGCUAGCGUUUUUCGGAAUUACUGGGCGUAAAGGGCGCGCAGGCGGCUGAUCAAGACAGGCGUGAAAGGCCUGGGCUCAACGCGGGAAUUGCGCUUGAGACUGGGCUGGCUUGAGGGCGGGAGAGGAUGGUGGAAUUCCCAGUGUAGAGGUGAAAUUCGCAGAUAUUGGGAAGAACACCUGUGGCGAAGGCGGCCAUCUGGACCGCAACUGACGCUGAGGCGCGAAACCGUGGGGAGCCAACAGG